rnacentral:tRNA from 1 species
GGCGAGAUGGCUCAGUGGUUAGAGCGCGGAUUUAUUAAACGGAAGGUCGUUGGUUCGAACCCAACCUCUGCCU